rnacentral:tRNA from 1 species
GGGGAUGUGACUCAGUGAUAGAGCACUUGUCCAGCAUGCAGGAGGCCUGGGUUCAAUCCCCAGCACACACA